AUCAACUAAUCAACUCAAGUGAGUGAGCAACUCCAAUCAUGGCAAUAUGCUUCUUAACCUGAAAUCCACAAGCCAAACAGUGAGUCCAAACCACUAGGUCAAAGCCUAGGGUCAACAGAGGGUCAAACAUCCAAAACAGAACAUGAAAUUCAACAUGAAUCAACCUCAAUCAAUUAAGAACACAAUCCAAAAGGUCUCAU
rnacentral:lncRNA from 1 species